GCAAUAAGCACUCCGCCUGGGGGAGUACGACCGCAAGGGUUGAAACUCAAAGGAAUUGACGGGGGACCCGCACAAGCAGCGGAGCAUGUGGUUUAAUUGGAAGGCAACGCGAAGAACCUUACCAGGGUCUUGACAUCCUCUGACAAUGUGAGAGAUCAGACUUCCGUUUCGGGGGACAGAGAGACAGGUGGUGCAUGGUUGUCGUCAGCUCGUGUCGUGAGAUGUUGGGUUAAGUCCCGCAACGAGCGCAACCCCUGUGGUUAGUUGCCAUCAUUUAGUUGGGCACUCUAAGCAGACUGCCGUGGAUAACACGGAGGAAGGUGGGGACGACGUCAAAUCAUCAUGCCCCUUAUGACCUGGGCUACACACGUGCUACAAUGGUCUGAACAGAGGGCUGCGAAACCGCGAGGUGAAGUUAAUCCCUUAAAACAGAUCUCAGUUCGGAUUGCAGGCUGCAACUCGCCUGCAUGAAGUUGGAGUUGCUAGUAAUCGCAGAUCAGAAUGCUGCGGUGAAUGCGUUCCCGGGUCUUGUACACACCGCCCGUCACACCACGAGAGUUGGCAACACCCGAAGUCAGUGAGGUAACCGCAAGGAACCAGCUGCCGAAGGUGGGGUCAGUAAUUGGGGUGAAGUCGUAACAAGGUAGCCGUA
rnacentral:rRNA from 1 species